CGGAAAGAGAGGGAUUCG
rnacentral:tRNA from 1 species